UGCUGCACAUUACCACUCGGAGACUAACUCCACAAUAUCCUCGUGCAGCUAGAGUUCUUAAUGUUAGGUGUUCUUUGAUUAGGCAUGAAGUUCUAAUAAAGGGGGUUGGGUACAGGUGGGCAUCCCCUCUAAGGAAUAAAUGGAAGGUAGGAAUGGUUAGGUUUUGGAACUUGGAUUCGCAUGAAAGCCGGGAGGGUGCAUCACUUUCUAAGAAAUGCUUUGUUUAAUAUAAAACUGCAGGUCUAAAUUAUGUAUGUAUUUGAUCAGCAAAUUUAUUCUUUUUCAGAUAUCGGUUGAUGCCAACGUAACCUUGGUGCCUGAAUUCCUGUAAAAUGGAGCUGGUGUGGCUUCCAUGUCAACAGGACUUUUGUGGAAGGUUUAAGAAAUUGUGCUUCUAUAGGAAAAUGUCCUGAUCUUGCUAUCCAGUUUUGAAGGAUAUUUAUUUUGGCUUUCGGUUGCCAGGCUGAUAUUGGUCAGUGAAUAUGAAUAUGGCUUUGAAGAUGGGACAAAAGGAAAUGUGCAAGCAGGAUUGGCAUAUCUUUAAAAUAAAAGGAAGCUUGUGAGGUUUCAAGGCUACCAACAUGACCUGCUUGAAAGAUGUCCAGGGCUUGUGGCCAUAUUGAAGCACACGGCUUGUCAGGAUGUGAAGUUUUAGAUUUGCCUUUGGUAUUUGGAGAGCACUGGCUGAUGGUAUUGACCAGUGACCAUGACCUUAAGUUAAAGGUAAGACCUCGUUUUUGUAUUGGAUAUAAACUUGGAUUUCCAUGAGAAUGUAGAUUAUGGCACAUUGUAUACAGGAUGAAAACCUUUUUUCAGAGCAUUGGGUUAUGAAAACCAUGAUUA